ACCAAGGGAAUUUUGUUAGUUUUUUGAUUUCUUUAUCCGGAUGUGUAAUUUGGUCUAGAGAUUUAAGUAAUCAGAGUAUCGAAUUGGAUUGAUUUUAUGUUCUUCGAAGACAUAAAUUUUGUUUUGAAAAGAAAAUGUGCGGUAUAACUUAGUCUUUCACUGAAAUGAAAUGAUUUCAAAAUAUAAAUAAAAGUGAAAGAAAUAUUUUCGGCGACUAAAACGAGCUUUUACUAAAUUAACAAGAGCUCACAUACAAACUUAUCCUUUAUGAGUUUUGAUCGAUAUUAUUCAUUUCUUGCAUUCGACACCACAAAGAUUCAUAGAUAUACUGAAAAUGCAUAUUUAUAAAGACAUUCGGGGGGUUAAGAUGUUUACAAAAUAAUUGCACUGUGGUCACGUUGAAUCGCUGAAUCGUGUACAUAUGUUUCAUCCACUGGAAUAGAUGCACAAUGUGUGUUUUGUUGAAGUGUUAUUGAAUUUAUUAAUAUAUUCAUAACAACCGAGAUUGUCCCAUACGAUUGUUUAUAUUGAUUAAAUGGAAUAUGUGGCCAUCAUAAUGCACGUAUAAUGUCUAUCUUCAACGUUAAAUGUGAAAAAGGCGGUAUCAGUGGUUAUGUGUCGCCGAUUAGAAAUGCUUAAAUUCAAGCAUCGAAUUCGGCCAUCAGUCUGCUUUAUUCUCUGCGAUCAAUCAUGAAAAGUUAAGGUUCAAAAAGAUGUAUUUCUUUAUUUCAGUUCAUACUGCUUUGUUGUUUGCAUUUAGUGAAAAGCAUCGAAUAACGUUUUAUUGUGAAAAAUGAAGUCAUUGGGUGUGUUGAUUCUAUAUUUUGCUCUCUCUGGGACCAGUGGCAUUGAAAGUCAUCGCAAUCAAGUCAAUCGAUUCAGGCAAGCCAAAUAUAAAGAAGCAUCGGAAGUAUUUUUCAACGCUACUGGGAAUGGUAA